rnacentral:rRNA from 1 species
AGAGUUUGAUCCUGGCUCAGAGUGAACGCUGGCGGCAGGCCUAAUACAUGCAAGUCGAACGGCAGCACAGCAGAGCUUGCUCUGUGGGUGGCGAGUGGCGGACGGGUGAGGAAUACGUGGGAAUCUGCCCAGUCGUGGGGAUAACGUAGGGAAACUUACGCUAAUACCGCAUGCGCCCGUUCGGGGGAAAGCCGGGGACCUUCGGGCCUGGCGCGAUUGGAUGAGCCCACGUCGGAUUAGCUAGUUGGCGGGGUAAAGGCCCACCAAGGCGACGAUCCGUAGCUGGUCUGAGAGGAUGAUCAGCCACACUGGAACUGAGACACGGUCCAGACUCCUACGGGAGGCAGCAGUAGGGAAUAUUGGACAAUGGGCGCAAGCCUGAUCCAGCCAUGCCGCGUGAGUGAAGAAGGCCCUCGGGUUGUAAAGCUCUUUUGUCCGGAAAGAAAAGCGCCGGGUUAAUACCCUGGUGUCCUGACGGUACCGGAAGAAUAAGCACCGGCUAACUUCGUG